rnacentral:tRNA from 1 species
GGAGAGGUGGGUGAGUGGCUGAAACCACCGGUUUGCUAAACCGACGUACGCUUCACGGCGUACCACGAGUUCUAAUCUCGUCCUCUCCG